AUAUAUUGCUUUUUUUUAGUGUAUUUUCGACAUGCUCGUAGUACAUUCGGACAAAGAUCAAUGGCACUACAAUACUUUUUUUGCUCUUGUGACGACUCUUAAUGCACCUGUGAGCAUCAUUUUCGGACGAACUUACACACUGGCGAGAGAGAGAGAGAGAGAGAGAGAGAGAUCCUUAAGCUUUUUUUCUAUUCAUCCUUGAAAUUUUUGUAUCUCGUACGUUAAUGGGACACGUUUUAUGUAUCCGGCUAAUGUUUCUUUUUUUUUCUUCAAGUUUUGAAUUACGUAGCAGAUCCAUUCGUACACGUCGUUGAAUUUCAUUGGUAUUCUAUUGGAAUGCGGAUAAACCUGCUAGGAAUAAAAAGCUAUGAACCUGCUGAUUCAUACUUCUCGAUUUCAACCUAGACGGACCACUCUAAAGACUUACAUAUUAUCUCAACGUACUUCAAUCUGUUAUACCAUCGGUCGUACUGAAUCUGUCAUAGAUUCGAAUUACAAAAGACUCCAUAGAAAAUACAGAAUUCGACCGAGUAGAUCACUUACCGGUAUCGCCGUUAAUUUGCGAACUGGUACGUUCCUUCUCCGUGUUGUCGCUUGCUGCCACGGUCUUUGUAUUCUCGUCCUCUACAACGAAAGUAUGCUCGUUAAUAGAUCAAAUAACGAUUACAUUUUAUAGCAUACCUGUCGAUUAUUAUAGCACAGAGAAAAAUAGGAUUCAUGUGAUCCUUGUUAGUUUUAUUUUUUCGAUUAUUAAUUACUACACGAUCGUCAAGAAACAUAUUCGGUGAAUGACACCAAUGAAAUAUGUAUAUAUCUUUUUUUAUGUAAAUAUAUGUUCAUUAUGUAUGGGAAAAUAUGUUUGCUUCUCUUUAUUAA